UACGCAGGGGGCUAGCGUUGCUCGGAAUCACUGGGCGUAAAGGGUGCGUAGGCGGGUCUUUAAGUCAGGUGUGAAAUCCUGGAGCUCAACUCCAGAACUGCCUUUGAUACUGAGGAUCUUGAGUCCGGGAGAGGUGAGUGGAACUGCGAGUGUAGAGGUGAAAUUCGUAGAUAUUCGCAAGAACACCAGUGGCGAAGGCGGCUCACUGGCCCGGUACUGACGCUGAGGCACGAAAGCGUGGGGAGCAAACAGG
rnacentral:rRNA from 1 species